GAUGAACGCUAGCGGCAGGCCUAAUACAUGCAAGUCGAACGAUACCAGGGAGCUUGCUCUCUGGGAAAGUGGCGCACGGGUGCGUAACGCGUAUGCAACCUACCUUAAUCAGGGGGAUAGCCUCUCGAAAGAGAGAUUAACACCGCAUAAAAUCACAGUCUGGCAUCAGACAAUGAUCAAAUAUUUAUAGGAUUAAGAUGGGCAUGCGUGACAUUAGUUAGUUGGUGAGGUAACGGCUCACCAAGACUACGAUGUCUAGGGGAUCUGAGAGGAUGACCCCCCACACUGGUACUGAGACACGGACCAGACUCCUACGGGAGGCAGCAGUAAGGAAUAUUGGUCAAUGGAGGCAACUCUGAACCAGCCAUGCCGCGUGCAGGAAGACGGCCCUACGGGUUGUAAACUGCUUUUAUACGGGAAUAAACCUCUUUACGUGUAGAGAGUUGAAUGUACUGUAAGAAUAAGGAUCGGCUAACUCCGUGCCAGCAGCCGCGGUAAUACGGAGGAUCCAAGCGUUAUCCGGAUUUAUUGGGUUUAAAGGGUGCGUAGGCGGCCUAUUAAGUCAGGGGUGAAAGACGGUGGCUCAACCAUCGCAGUGCCUUUGAUACUGAUGGGCUUGAUUACACUUGAGGUAGGCGGAAUGUGACAAGUAGCGGGUGAAAAUGCAUAGAUAUGUCACAGAACACCCAAAUUGCGAAGGCAGCUUUACUAAGGUGUCAAUGACGCUGAGGCACGAAAGCGUGGGGGAUCAAACAGGAUUAGAUACCCUGGUAGUCCACGCCCUAAACGAUGAACACUAGGUGUGGGGGGAGUCGAAUCCCUCCGUGCCGAAGCCAACGCGUUAAGUGUUCCGCCUGGGGAGUACGGCCGCAAGGCUAAAACUCAAAAGAAUUGACGGGGGCCCGCACAAGCAGCGGAGCAUGUUCUUUAAUUCGAUGCAACGCGAAGAACCUUACCUGGGCUUGACAUGGCACUGCAAGCGCACGGAAACGUGUGACCUUCGAGGGUGUGCCACAGAUGCUGCAUGGCUGUCGUCAGCUCGUGUCGUGAGAUGUUGGGUUAAGUCCCGCAACGAGCGCAACCCUCGCCUUUAGUUGCCAUCAUUAAGUUGGGCACUCUAGAGGGACUGCCGGUGAUAAGCCGGAGGAAGGUGGGGAUGACGUCAAGUCCUCAUGGCCCUUACGGGUUGGGCUACACACGUGCUACAAUGGCGGUGACAGUGGGCAGCCACUCCGCGAGGAGGAGCUAAUCCUGAAAAGCCGUCUCAGUUCGGAUUGCACUCUGCAACUCGGGUGCAUGAAGUUGGAAUCGCUAGUAAUCGCGGAUCAGCACGCCGCGGUGAAUACGUUCCCGGGCCUUGUACACACCGCCCGUCACACCAUGGGAGUUGGGUCUACCCGAAGACGGUG
rnacentral:rRNA from 1 species